GAUGAACGCUGGCGGCGUGCCUAAUACAUGCAAGUCGAGCGAACGGACGAGAAGCUUGCUUCUCUGAUGUUAGCGGCGGACGGGUGAGUAACACGUGGAUAACCUACCUAUAAGACUGGGAUAACUUCGGGAAACCGGAGCUAAUACCGGAUAAUAUUUUGAACCGCAUGGUUCAAAAGUGAAAGACGGUCUUGCUGUCACUUAUAGAUGGAUCCGCGCUGCAUUAGCUAGUUGGUAAGGUAACGGCUUACCAAGGCAACGAUGCAUAGCCGACCUGAGAGGGUGAUCGGCCACCUUGGAACUGAGACACGGUCCAGACUCCUACGGGAGGCAGCAGUAGGGAAUCUUCCGCAAUGGGCGAAAGCCUGACGGAGCAACGCCGCGUGAGUGAUGAAGGUCUUCGGAUCGUAAAACUCUGUUAUUAGGGAAGAACAUAUGUGUAAGUAACUGUGCACAUCUUGACGGUACCUAAUCAGAAAGCCACGGCUAACUACGUG
rnacentral:rRNA from 1 species